rnacentral:rRNA from 1 species
GAUGAACGCUGGCGGCGUGCCUAAUACAUGCAAGUCGAGCGAACGGACGAGAAGCUUGCUUCUCUGAUGUUAGCGGCGGACGGGUGAGUAACACGUGGAUAACCUACCUAUAAGACUGGGAUAACUUCGGGAAACCGGAGCUAAUACCGGAUAAUAUUUUGAACCGCAUGGUUCAAAAGUGAAAGACGGUCUUGCUGUCACUUAUAGAUGGAUCCGCGCUGCAUUAGCUAGUUGGUAAGGUAACGGCUUACCAAGGCAACGAUGCAUAGCCGACCUGAGAGGGUGAUCGGCCACACUGGAACUGAGACACGGUCCAGACUCCUACGGGAGGCAGCAGUAGGGAAUCUUCCGCAAUGGGCGAAAGCCUGACGGAGCAACGCCGCGUGAGUGAUGAAGGUCUUCGGAUCGUAAAACUCUGUUAUUAGGGAAGAACAUAUGUGUAAGUAACUGUGCACAUCUUGACGGUACCUAAUCAGAAAGCCACGGCUAACUACGUGCCAGCAGCCGCGGUAAUACGUAGGUGGCAAGCGUUAUCCGGAAUUAUUGGGCGUAAAGCGCGCGUAGGCGGUUUUUUAAGUCUGAUGUGAAAGCCCACGGCUCAACCGUGGAGGGUCAUUGGAAACUGGAAAACUUGAGUGCAGAAGAGGAAAGUGGAAUUCCAUGUGUAGCGGUGAAAUGCGCAGAGAUAUGGAGGAACACCAGUGGCGAAGGCGACUUUCUGGUCUGUAACUGACGCUGAUGUGCGAAAGCGUGGGGAUCAAACAGGAUUAGAUACCCUGGUAGUCCACGCCGUAAACGAUGAGUGCUAAGUGUUAGGGGGUUUCCGCCCCUUAGUGCUGCAGCUAACGCAUUAAGCACUCCGCCUGGGGAGUACGACCGCAAGGUUGAAACUCAAAGGAAUUGACGGGGACCCGCACAAGCGGUGGAGCAUGUGGUUUAAUUCGAAGCAACGCGAAGAACCUUACCAAAUCUUGACAUCCUUUGACAACUCUAGAGAUAGAGCUUUCCCCUUCGGGGGACAAAGUGACAGGUGGUGCAUGGUUGUCGUCAGCUCGUGUCGUGAGAUGUUGGGUUAAGUCCCGCAACGAGCGCAACCCUUAAGCUUAGUUGCCAUCAUUAAGUUGGGCACUCCAAGUUGACUGCCGGUGACAAACCGGAGGAAGGUGGGGAUGACGUCAAAUCAUCAUGCCCCUUAUGAUUUGGGCUACACACGUGCUGCAAUGGACAAUACAAAGGGCAGCGAAACCGCGAGGUCAAGCAAAUCCCAUAAAGUUGUUCUCAGUUCGGAUUGUAGUCUGCAACUCGACUACAUGAAGCUGGAAUCGCUAGUAAUCGUAGAUCAGCAUGCUACGGUGAAUACGUUCCCGGGUCU